rnacentral:rRNA from 1 species
CAGUAGCGUAUAUUAAAGUUGUUGCAGUUAAAAAGCUCGUAGUUGGAUUUCUGGUUCGAUGCGCCUGGCCCGCCACGGUUACGUGCGUGAGUGCCGGUGUGCGUCAACCAUCCUUCAUGAAAACGUUUCUACUCUUCAUUGGGCCGGAUUCGCGAUCAUGAUCUUUUACUUUGAAAAAUUAGAGUGUUUAAGGCAGGCAAGCGCUAUGAAUACAUUAGCAUGGAAUAAUAAUUUAGGACUUUCGUUCCUAUUUUGUUGGUUUCUAGGAAUGAAGUAAUGAUUGAUAGGGAUUGUUGGGGGUGCUACUAUUCAACGGCCAGAGGUGAAAUUCUCCGAUUUGUUAAAGACUAACUUAUGCGAAAGCAUUUGCCAAGGAUGUUUUCAUUAAUCAAGAACGAAAGUUAGGGGAUCAAAGACGAUCAGAUACCAU